rnacentral:rRNA from 1 species
CGCCUGUUUAUCAAAAACAUCGUCUAUUGGACCUUGGUGUUAUGUGUUAUAAUAGGUGUUUUCUGCCCAGUGAGAGUUUUUCAACGGCCGCGGUACUUUGACCGUGCAAAGGUAGCAUAAUCAUUUGCUUCUUAAUUAGGGGCUUGUAUGAAGGAAAGAAUGAAUGUCCGGCUGUCUCCUCUCGAAAAAAAAAUUUUCUGUUGCUGUGAAGAAGCAGCAAUGCUAAAAAAAGACAAGAAGACCCUAUCGAGCUUUACUCUAGAGAUUAAAAGGGCUGUAAUUUAUUUAUUAUAUUACACAAAGUUUUGUGAGUUACGUUGGGGUGACGAAAAAAGAAAAAAUCUUUUUUAAUGGUAAGAACUGUUUUGUUAAAAAAGGAGCGGCUUUUGGCCAUUGUUGGAAGAAGUUACCGUAGGGAUAACAGCGUAAUUUUUUUAGAGAGUUCAAAUCGAAAAAAAAGAUUGCGACCUCGAUGUUGACUUGUUGUUUCCUUUUGGUGCAGCUGCUAAAAGGGUUGGUCUGUUCGACCAUUAAAAUAACACGUGAUCUGA